AGACCCGGAAGGUACAAAGGGUCCAACGAAAAAGCCUAUCACAAAAAGCCCAAACGUUUCUUUGCUUUACAGCUGACGCCUGAGGAAGAAGGAUCGACUGAGCAAGAAGGCAGUGCACCUGCAUAUCCUUGGUGGGAGCAUCACGGAAACAAAUACGCAGAGUAUCACGCGUCCCUUCUUCUUCAACUGCCUCUAACCAGCAGCAUCAACGUCCAAAGCGUCCUUCACCACUCUACAAGACGGUAUAAAAGUUCUUGCUCGAAGGGAGACCGGUGUAACUAUGCGCAUAGUGAUGGCGAGAUUCGCAUGCCACCCGAGUACUCCUCAAAGUGCAAGUUUGGAAGCCUUUGUCCGUAUGCCGCCCGCUCUAAAUGCUUUUACAGUCAUGAUUAGAGAUUAGGAUUUUCUUUACUUUGAGGCUUAAAACAUGGAUUUUGAGGAAUAAAAGUAACUUCUAGUGGCUUGCUAACUACUUGGUACUUGAACUUGUAAUGGGAAUCCCUGGAUUUUACGUAUUCUAAUGAAUAAAUGUAUAUUUAUCUAUCUAUGUGCAUCGUUUCAUCGUGUUAUGCUGGGAAUCUUGUUUUCUUUAUGGUUUUAUCUCCUGAGCUUAUUGAACUUAGUGAAAUGCAUUGUGUUCUAGUCUUAAACUUGACAAGGUGCUUAGUAACUGAAUUAGACUGCAUAACACCAUUGUGGUCGAUCUAAAUGGAUGGCCUUUGAGGCACAAAGGCAAAUACCUUUGUUUUUGCCACCCUACAGUUUAUCUCCAUCAGACAGAGGAGUGGAUGUUUCUUUUAUGUGCAUCACCACAAAAGGAUUAAAAGCGUAACCUUUGUAGUUUUUGGCCAAGGAUUAUCAUUUUAUGGUAUUUGGCCAGAUUGGAGAGCUUGAUCGGCCUCGUUAACCCAAUCCAGCUAGCCUGCACCACUUUCGGUGAUCAUGGCAGCGAGGGCAUGUCGCUCUGGGAAGCUCUCCCUUCCGUUACCAUCGUUGGAGGCCAGAGUUUCAGGAAGUCUUCGGUUUGGGAAAGCAUGGUGGGGAGAGGUUUCUUGCCUUGUGGAUCUGGUAUUGUGGUGAGGAGACCAUUAGUGUUGCAGCUUCAUCGGGUAGUGGAUGGGCGAUCUGAAUAUGCAGAGUUUCUUCAUGCGCCUAGGAAGAAGUUUACUGAUUGUGGCAGCUUCUGUACACAAGGAGAUCUCAGAUGAGACUGAUCGCAUAAUUGGGCGUACCUUGCAGUUGUAAAUAUAUCUCCAUAGAUCUUCCUGGAUUGACCAAGUUUUCUGUAGCCUAACUGCAUUAUAUUGGCUAUAUCUCCUGCUAAUCAAGAUAUUGCCACUUCAGAUGCCAUUGAACUUGCAAGAGAGGUCGAUCCAUCAGGUACAAGAUACCGGCAGAGGCUACGGCACUUUCAUGUCCUUGUGAUUGUUUAUCAAAAGGAUUGCUUCUUUUACAAGCCAAAACACUUUUUUUUUAUGAGAAGGAAGGCCAUAUAGACUGCAACACCCAUGAUGGCUGCUUAUAGAAAGGAGCAAGAAUACUUGAAAACUAGUCCUAAUUAGGGACCCUUGGCACAUAGAAUGGGGUCAGAGUAUCUUGCCAAACUUUUGUCCAAGCAUUUGAAGUCUCUCAUCAGGCAGCGCAUACCAAGGAUCAUUGCUUUGAUUAAUAAGACCAUUAGUGAAUUAAAUGUAGAGCCGGAUCGCAUUGGCAGGCCAAUUGGCAUAGAUUCAGGGGUAACAGAUGUUGACCUUGUAAAGAUAGUUUUCUUGUUCAUGCAACAUACAGAUUACACGUGUUACUUUAUGUACAGGUCCAAUUGUACACUAUUUUAGAACUAUGUCGUGCAUUUGAAGGUGUAUUCAAGGAACACCUGGUUGGAGGAUGCACUUUGUUUUGAAAGAACUUGUACGGAAAUCAAUAGCUGAAACGGAGAUGGGCAAUUCAAGAAAGGAAAUGUAGAUGAUUCCAAGAAGUAUGAGUAAAAUGCGGGAUGGAGGGGUUAGUCUUGUUGUGGCUGCAUACGGAGUGGUGAUCUCAGGCCUCUGUAAGAAUGGUCAGUUAAAUAAAGCAAUGCGGGUCAUUACAGAUUUGGCCAUGUGUGGUUUUUCUUCAGAUAAGAUGUUGUUGAUGACCAUUAUGGAUGCAUGUUUCAAAGCUGGGAAUUUAAAAGCAGCUUCGGGUUUCUACAGAGAAUUGUUAGCCAAGGGGUUUGAACCAGAUGCUGUGGUGCUUCAGCUUUGAUGGAUAGCUUAUGCAAGCAUAUGGGCAUUUGGACGAGGCAAGAGGCUACUUUUGCAAGAAAAGGGCUAUUGAAUUUCAUAUACUGUGCUCACUGAUGGGAUGUGUAAGGAAGCAAACUUUAGUGGAGUUGAGACGAUCUUCAGUGAGAUGUCCGAGAUGGGGUUUAUUCCAGACAAAUAUGUAUACACUUCUUGGAUUGCUGGGCUAUGCAGACAGGGUAAUCUGGUCGAGGCUUUUAGACUCAAGAAUAAAAUGGUUAAAGAGGGCAUCAGACCUGAUCUGUUAACUUAUAGCUCACUUAUUUUUGGUUUAACAAGCAAGGGACUCAUGGCUGAAGCACAACAGGUUUUCGAUGAUAUGUUGAAAAGAGGAAUUACUCCUGACUGUCACGUCUUUGGUAUUUGAUAAGGGGGUAUUGUGAUGAGGGUAAUGACGUUGCCAUUUUAGGUUUGCACAAUGAAAUGAGAAAGAGAGGGCUUGUAGUCACAGGAGGUAAAGGAGAUGGAGAGCAUUUGAUUUGUGAUAGCAUGUAAGGCUCCACAAGAACUAAGGACUUUGCAGGGUGUUCCAUAAAGAAACUGUCUGUCAUGUACCGCAGGCACACCCUGCAUUGCUAUCCAUUAGAAAGUUGUCUUCAAAAGUGGAAGCUGGCUCAGAGUUCGUGCAAUUAUGGAACUAUUGGAAUGUUCCAUCUGCGGUCCUCGCAUUGGUGUGGAGCAAGGACCUCCAGUUCUAUGUGCCUUGUUCUGUGACAGGGCCUUCAAGGCUUUUCCCGAGGCUUACUACUCGAGGGAUGCAAUAACACAGGUAUGUGGGUGAUUUUUAACUGUUGGCAAUUUCCUUUAAAACUUUUUAUAGAGUAGGAGAACACAUGGGAAGGAGCUUGCCCCGGGUGGAGGGGAAGGGACUGUUGAUUCAAUUAUUGUCGACUAUUUGUAACCAUAUCCUGUACAAUGAUAUAUAAUUUUAAAAAAUAGGUGAUUAACUUGUCUCAUUCCAGAUGCAUGAGAAAACUCCCUUUGUCUGAUUAAAUAUUUUUAGUCGGGUUCAAGCACGGUUGUGGUAGGCAUUUGAGUGGAUCUGCAAUGACAGAGAGUUAUGCCAUCCUGAGGGGUUUACUGUUAAAGAUUUUACAUCUGAGAGCAUGGAGGAAACACUUUGCCAUGGUGUUUAAAGCCGGUUUGACUUCAUUGCAGAUUCAUGGAAGGUCUCACAGUCGAAGGUGCCACAGAGGAGUGAGGAAAUGCCAGUCAGCUCCAUGAACAAGCUGCUGUACCACUAUCUACUAAGAAACUUGAAGCCGAGAUGAAGCAGAAAUCUGCUAGUGUCAAUUUACAAGAGCUGCAUCCAUAUUGUAUUAGCUCUUUUCUUAGUAAAUCAUGUAUCAGUGGAGUAUCAAUUCGGAUAUUUUAAGUACUGGACUACUGGGUUCCAGGUUUUCUUGAUGGCAUUUAUUCUGACUUUCCCGGUCAUAUUUCUGUUUGCCGGUAUAUUUGUGAACAUUGGGCAAUAUUAUAUGCCGACUAUUUGUCUCGGUUAAAAAAGUACAAGCUAUAUUGAUCAAUAUCUCAACUGGGAGCAUUGUAUCAAAA